UACGUAGGGUGCGAGCGUUAAUCGGAAUUACUGGGCGUAAAGCGUGCGCAGGCGGUUUUGUAAGCCAGAUGUGAAAUCCCCGGGCUUAACCUGGGAAUGGCAUUUGGGACUGCAAGGCUUGAGUGCGGCAGAGGAGACUGGAAUUCCCGGUGUAGCAGUGAAAUGCGUAGAUAUCGGGAGGAAUACCGAUGGCGAAGGCAGGUCUCUGGGCUGACACUGACGCUCAUGCACGACAGCGUGGGGAGCAAACAGG
rnacentral:rRNA from 1 species